rnacentral:rRNA from 1 species
UACGGAGGGUGCAAACGUUGCUCGGAAUCAUUGGGCGUAAAGAGCUCGUAGGCGGUCUGUCGCGUCGGCUGUGAAAACCCGGGGCUCAACCCCGGGCCUGCAGUCGAUACGGGCAGACUAGAGUGCGGUAGGGGAGACUGGAAUUCCUGGUGUAGCGGUGAAAUGCGCAGAUAUCAGGAGGAACACCGGUGGCGAAGGCGGGUCUCCGUGGGCCGUAACUGACGCGUGAGGAAGCGAAAGGCGUGGGGAGCGAACAGG